rnacentral:rRNA from 1 species
AUUAGUUAAGUGAAGAAGGGCGCACGGUGGAUGCCUUGGCACUAGGAGCCGAUGAAGGACGGGACUAACACCGAUAUGCUUCGGGGAGCUGUAAGUAAGCUUUGAUCCGGAGAUUUCCGAAUGGGGGAACCCACUAUUCGUUAUUGGAUAGUACCUAUCACUGAAUACAUAGGUGAUAGGAGGCAGACCCGGGGAACUGAAACAUCUCAUUACCCGGAGGAAGAGAAAGAAAAAUCGAUUUCCUGAGUAGCGGCGAGCGAAACGGAAUUAGCCCAAACCAGAAGGCUUGCCUUCUGGGGUUGUAGGACACUCCUUUGGAGUUACAAAGAAACCAUGUAAAUGAAGCGGCUUGGAAUGGCCCGCCAUAGAAGGUAAGAGCCCUGUAUUUGAAAUGUGGUUUCCUCCGGAGUGUAUCCUGAGUACGGCGGAACACGUGAAAUUCCGUCGGAAUCCGGGAGGACCAUCUCCCAAGGCUAAAUACUCCCUAGUGACCGAUAGUGAACCAGUACCGUGAGGGAAAGGUGAAAAGCACCCCGGAAGGGGAGUGAAAUAGAACCUGAAACCGUGUGCCUACAAGUAGUCGAAGCCCGUUAAUGGGUGACGGCGUACCUUUUGUAGAAUGGACCGGCGAGUUACGAUCCCCUGCAAGGUUAAGUUGUAUAGACGGAGCCGCAGCGAAAGCGAGUCUGAAUAGGGCGAUAUAGUAGGUGGUCGUAGACCCGAAACCGUGUGAUCUACCCAUGUCCAGGGUGAAGGUCAGGUAACACUGACUGGAGGCCCGAACCCACGCACGUUGAAAAGUGCGGGGAUGAGGUGUGGGUAGGGGUGAAAUGCCAAUCGAACACGGAGAUAGCUGGUUCUCUCCGAAAUAGCUUUAGGGCUAGCCUCAAAGGAUGAUGGUUGGAGGUAGAGCACUGAUUGGACUAGGGGCCCUCAUCGGGUUACCGAAUUCAGUCAAACUCCGAAUGCCAAUCAAUCUACUUUGGGAGUCAGACCAUGGGUGAUAAGGUUCAUGGUCGAAAGGGAAACAGCCCAGACCGCCAGCUAAGGUCCCAAAGUGUGUGUUAAGUGGAAAAGGAUGUGGCGUUGCUUAGACAACCAGGAUGUUGGCUUAGAAGCAGCCAUCAUUUAAAGAGUGCGUAAUAGCUCACUGGUCGAGUGACGCUGCGCCGAAAAUAUACCGGGGCUAAACACACCACCGAAGCUGCGGAUUGACAUCUACGAUGUCAGUGGUAGGAGAGCGUUCUAAGGGCAGUGAAGGUCGAUCGUGAGGACGGCUGGAGCGCUUAGAAGUGAGAAUGCCGGUAUGAGUAGCGAAAAAAGAGUGAGAAUCUCUUUCAUCGAAAGCCCAAGGUUUCCUGAGGAAGGCUCGUCCGCUCAGGGUUAGUCGGGGCCUAAGCCGAGGCCGAAAGGCGUAGGCGAUGGACAACAGGUUGAUAUUCCUGUACCACCUAAAUCCGCUUGAACGAUGGGGGGACGCAGGAGGAUAAGGAAAGCGCGCUGCUGGUUAUGCGCGUCCAAGCCGUGAGGAAGUUGAGCAGGCAAAUCCACUCAACAAUAUUCCAGGCGGUUAUGGGGAGGGAAAUUUAGUACCGAAGUUCCUGAUUUCACACUGCCAAGAAAAGCCUCUAGUGAGGAAAUAGGUGCCCGUACCGCAAACCGACACAGGUAGGCACGGUGAGUAACCGAAGAUGAUCGGGAGAACUCUCGUUAAGGAACUCGGCAAAAUGACCCCGUAACUUCGGGAGAAGGGGUGCUUCUUUUUAGGAGAAGCCGCAGUGAAAAGGCCCAAGCGACUGUUUAGCAAAAACACAGGUCUCUGCAAAGCCGUAAGGCGAAGUAUAGGGGCUGACACCUGCCCGGUGCUGGAAGGUUAAGGGGAAUGGUUAGGGACUUCGUCCCGAAGCUGUGAACCGAAGCCCCAGUAAACGGCGGCCGUAACUAUAACGGUCCUAAGGUAGCGAAAUUCCUUGUCGGGUAAGUUCCGACCCGCACGAAAGGUGCAACGACUUGGGCACUGUCUCAACGAGAGACCCGGUGAAAUUAUACUAUGCGUGAAGAUGCGCAUUACCCGCGACAGGACGGAAAGACCCCGUGGAGCUUUACUGUAGCCUGAUAUGGAAUGUUGGUACAGCUUGUACAGGAUAGGUGGGAGCCUUAGAAGCCGGAGCGCUAGCUUCGGUGGAGGCAUCCGUGGGAUACCACCCUGGCUGUAUUGACAUUCUAACC